AGAAAACUGACUUUCUGAUGGGGAAGCAAAGGGAAGCUGCAAGAGUGGUCACGCGCCUCUCCCCUGCAGUGCUGGCACGGUGUUUUGGGUGCCUGGAGCAGCCAGAAGAGAGUUGUUACAAGCUAUUCCAGGACCCAACAGAGAGAAAGGGCUCAUUUAUUCCAGAAUUAACAUGCUGCCAGUACAACUUCAAAGUUUGGCUUCCUCCCACCUCCAGCUGCUGUCACCUGAUCCAAUACCAACAGCUGGGCACUUGCUGUGUAAAAGUGCAGAAAAGUUCCUAUAAUGCCAAAAAGCACAAUGUUGAAAGAAAGCAAACACCUCUCUCCCACACUGCAAGAACAAGAACUUCUGAG